GGUGAAUGCUGGCGGCAGGCUUAAUACAUGCAAGUCGUGGGGCAGCGCAGGUAGCAAUACUGGGCGGCGACCGGCAAACGGGUGCGGAACACGUACACAACCUUCCGAGAAGUGGGGAAUAGCCCAGAGAAAUUUGGAUUAAUACCCCGUAACAUAACGAUGUGGCAUCACAUUGUUAUUAUAGCUUCGGCGCUUCUUGAUGGGUGUGCGGCUGAUUAGAUAGUUGGCGGGGUAACGGCCCACCAAGUCUACGAUCAGUAGCUGAUGUGAGAGCAUGAUCAGCCACACGGGCACUGAGACACGGGCCCGACUCCUACGGGAGGCAGCAGUAAGGAAUAUUGGUCAAUGGACGCAAGUCUGAACCAGCCAUGCCGCGUGAAGGAUUAAGGUCCUCUGGAUUGUAAACUUCUUUUAUCUGGGACGAAAAAAGGCGAUUCUUCGUCACUUGACGGUACCAGAUGAAUAAGCACCGGCUAACUCCGUGCCAGCCGCCGCAGUAA
rnacentral:rRNA from 1 species